CCUACGGGAGGCUGCAGUAGGGAAUCUUUCACAAUGGACGCAAGUCUGAUGGAGCAACGCCGCGUGAGUGAAGAAGGGUUUCGGCUCGUAAAGCUCUGUUGGUAGUGAAGAAAGAUAGAGGUAGUAACUGGCCUUUAUUUGACGGUAAUUACUUAGAAAGUCACGGCUAACUACGUGCCAGCAGCCGCGGUAAUGCGUAGGUGGCAAGCGUGGUCCGGAUUUAUUGGGCGUAAAGCGAGUGCAGGCGGUUCAAUAAGUCUGAUGUGAAAGCCUUCGGGUCAACCGGAGAAUUGCAUCAGGAACUGUUGAACUUGAGUGCAGAAGAGGAGAGUGGAACUCCAUGUGUAGCGGUGGAAUGCGUAGAUAUAUGGAAGAACACCAGUGGCAAAGGCGGCUCUCUGGUCUGCAACUGACGCUGAGGCUCGAAAGCAUGGGUAGCGAACAGGAUUAGAUACCCCGGUAGUC
rnacentral:rRNA from 1 species